ensembl:lncRNA
AAACAAAUGAAUAGUGAUGAUGAGAAAUGCUCAAAUGUGUGUCUUAUUUAAUUUAUUGAUUGUUUAUUUUGUUUUUGACAUGGAUUGUUUUAGGGUAGGCAGUGUUAAUGUAAAUGGAGCCAGAGAGGGGAAAAAAAGGAGCCUUGCCUGGAGAAGGGACGGGUUAAAAUAUCUCAGGAAUGAGGCGGUGGUGGUGAAGAGAAACUGGGAGACUGUCAUUGAAAGAGCAGAAGAAAAAAUGAGAAGAUGGAAAUGGCUGCUCCCUCAAAUGUCGUACAGAGGGGGUUCUAUACUUGUCGAGAGAGGAGGGGGGACAGGACCUCAUCCACCUGGCCAGCAGAACGGCCACUUUCAGACUCCAGUUUAUAAAAAGGUUUCUGACAGGGCCGUCCGAUUUGGUAUGGAGGAACAUGACCAGCUGUAUCCUCAGAGAUGAGCCUUUGAUCCAUGGGAGCAGGCUGGACAUCUGUGGCGUGACACCCGGGCUGCUGACAACACUGUAUAGUCCAAAGACUGUGAGCCUGCAGCAGCUGGUGGAGGCUGCAGGGCCGGAGCUGACGGGGCCGGGGCCCUGGGCUCUCUCCUGGACAUUCGUUCGGUCAGGGUGGUUCAGAAGCUGCUGGAGCUCUGGAGGCAGAAGCUCUGUGGGAUGGAG